AAUGUUCAACGUCCUCCUGGGAUACGGAAGGCACCGUGAUAGACAUCUGGGCAAGUCAACAGGAAGGUGGAUAUCCAAAUCUCUCUCUUCGCAAUGAGUUUCCAGUUAGAUGGAGGAGAGAGUAAUAAAACACAGAGCUGAGAUUCCUGACUUCACAGAUCCCUGAGGAGAUGUUUACUAAAGGGAAUCUUCUGGUCACUGUUACCUUCCUCCGUACUUACCUGCCUCAUGGAGAACCCGAAAGGAAGAAGCUAUACGACUGGGGACACAUGUCUUAGAAGCACACUCAUUAGAUAAAGUGUCGCAUACUCUUUGAUAAGUGACUCAGAACACCCGUGUCCUUCCCAACAUUGGAUGCAAUGCUAAAGACAUGAUGUUGCUCCUGCUGGACCACACCUUGAAGGAAUUGCCUACCCCACCUCACCUCCAAAAUUAAAGUCUUUCGUUUUGACAAAAGUUAAUGAUAA
ensembl:lncRNA LINC01060 long intergenic non-protein coding RNA 1060